rnacentral:rRNA from 1 species
UACGUAGGGCGCAAGCGUUUGUCCGGAAUUAUUGGGCGUAAAGAGCUCGUAGGCGGUUUGUCGCGUCUGCCGUGAAAACCCGAGGCUUAACCUCGGGCUGGCGGUGGAUACGGGCAGACUAGAGGUAGGUAGGGGAGAAUGGAAUUCCCGGUGUAGCGGUGAAAUGCGCAGAUAUCGGGAGGAACACCGGUGGCGAAGGCGGUUCUCUGGGCCUUACCUGACGCUGAGGAGCGAAAAGCGUGGGGGAGCGAACAGG